CACUUGAUGUUGCGAGAAACUACGAGAAAGCGUGAGAAUUUACGUGAUUCGGGGAAAAAACCCGCCGCUUCAAACAUCGAAGAAAUUGAUUGCCGUUCAGAAGUAACAUAUUUUGGGCUAUCUCUACCGUUACAUUGUCCGGAUUUCAAACAUGCUAAAGAAGAAAAAAGGGACCAGACUGUCAAAACCUUAACACAAAUCAACAGCAGAAGUGUGUUUCAUCGGAUUACGUGUCACGUCUAACAACACAGCGACGAAUUCUUCCUUGCACACACAUAUCCGAGAAUAUUUCUAGAUAUUUUCCUCAGAUUGGUGAGGACACCUAGCAAAGUGGUUUCUAUGGGAAUCGAUGACAUCAAAACUAAAACCAUGCACGAACCCCAAUAGAAGCGGAACUGGGUGUUCCG